GACGAACGCUGGCGGCGUGCUUAACACAUGCAAGUCGAACGAAGUGGCGAACGGGUGAGUAAUACGUGAGUAACCUGCCCUCCUUUUUGGGAUAAGCCUUGGAAACGGGGUCUAAUACCGAAUAAAGGGGGAUGGGCUCGCGGCCUAUCAGCUGGGUGGUGGGGUAAUGGCCUACCAAGGCGGCGACGGGUAGCCGGCCUGAGAGGGUGGGCGGCGACAGUGGGACUGAGACACGGCCCAGACUACUACGGGAGGCAGCAGUGGGGAGUAUUGCACAAUGGGCGGAAGCCUGAUGUAGGGACGCCGCGUGGGGGAUGACGGCCUUCGGGUUGUAAACUCCUUUCACCAUCGACGCGGUAGAUGGAGAAGAAGCACCGGCUAACUACGUGCCAGCCGCCGCGGUAAUAC
rnacentral:rRNA from 1 species